GUGUCUGCUUUGGCAACACAUACACUAAAAUUGGAAUGAUACAGAGAUGAGUAGCAUGACCCCUGCGGAAGGAUGACACCCAAAUUCAUGAAGCGUUCCAUAUUUUU
ensembl:snRNA U6 U6 spliceosomal RNA